ensembl:lncRNA
AUGCCCAGAGCUGUGCCAGCAGCCCGCCCCCAAGCUAUCCUAACGCCCAGGCCACCAGUCCCAUGGGGACAACGCCCAGCCAGGGCCUGGAGCCACCAGCAGUGCUGGGAGGAGGCUCUCUGCACACAGGACCUUUCCCCUCAGCACAGACCAGGCUGCUCUCCCGCCCCGCUCCAUGCUGGAGACCUGCCAGCUGCCCCCAGGUGGGACACAAAGGGGGACACGCAGCGCGUUGCUCACAGCCGGCCUCGUCGCUGCCGUCCGUGCAGUCAGCCUCUCCGUCACACCGCCAGGCCUUGGGGACGCACUCGUGGCCCCGGGAGCAGCCCCACUGCUGGUCACGGCACAGCCCUUCCUCCCUGGGACAGCCCUGCAGGAGCAGGGGUGCGAGCGGUGCCACCAGCCCCCUGGGAGUUGGGGCAGGGGGCUCCCCACCGCACACCCACCUCCUCAUCCGUGCCGUCCUCGCAGUCGGCGGCCCCGUCGCAGCGCCAGGCCUCCGGCACGCACUGCCUGCUGUGGGGACACGCCACCUCGCCCGCGCGGCACAGCAGGGGCCGCGGCACGGCACAGCCCUCCUCGUCCGAUCCGUCCCGGCAGUCUCGGUCCCCGUCGCAGCGCAGGGACACGGCCACACACUGCCCGCUGCGGCAGGGGAACUCGGCUGGGCUGCACUCCUUGGGCGCUGUGAGGGGAGACGAGACGGGGAUGAGAGGGGGUCACCGCAUUCACCCCGCGCCCACCCCGCGCCACCCCCAUGUCUCACCGCAGUGCUGCUCGUCAGCACGGUCCAGGCAGUCGGCGUGGCCGUCGCACAGCCAGCUCUCGGGGACGCAGCGGGUGGCAGCGUCGCAGCGCAGGGCGCAGUCCUGCGUGGGGCUCCAGCAGCCCGCCUCGUCCGAGGCGUCGGGGCACUGCGGCACCCCGUCGCAGCGCUCGCCAGCCCCGACGCACACGGCGCCGCUCACGCAGCGGAAGGCCCCUGGGGUGUCGCAGAGCUGGGCACAGCCGUCCUCAUCAGAGCCGUCCGCGCAGUCCUUCUCCCCGUCACACACGUACUCCUGGGCCACGCACUCGGUGCCGUCACGGCAGGGCACGUGUGUGCGAGGGCAGGAGAGACGGGGGACCGCGGUGAGGGGGCGUGCGGGGCUGGGCUGGGCGGGCGGGACGCUGGGCUCCACCCGUGCAGGGACGGUUGGGUGCUGCGUGGUUGUAGUUAGCCGUGGGGCGGCGGGCUUGGCUGGCACGGACCGAGCGGUGGUGGCGGUGCUCGUGGUGGCGGUGCUCGUGGUGGUCCUGGGCGGAGCGGUGUGGGUGGUGGCCGGCGCAGAGGUCGUGGUUGGGGUGGGCCGGCUGGUGGUGGUGGUGGCGGCUGGUGCAGGGGUGGUUGUGGUUGGCACAGACUGGCUGGUGGUGGUCGGCGCUGUGGUGGCGGGCACAGCAGUGGUCUUGCGUGGUGGAGGUCGUGUGGUGGAGGUGGGAAGCCAAGCGGACGUGGUGGUUGGGCCUGCCCUUGGAGCAGUGGUCGUGCUUGUCCUCGACGUAGUGGUCGCGGGUGGAUGGAGUGGCAGCGCAGGCCCUCUGGUUGUUGGCACUGGCGCAGGCACUGGAACACAAGCCCGGAUUUGGGGCUGCCCGCCCUCCAGGCACGUCCAGGAGCAACCCAGACGGCCCCCAGCACCCCGGCACUGCCCCGGCUUGGAACAGUGCGGGCCGCCCAGCCACACCAGGUACGACGCUAGGCACGGAGCCCCAGCCCCUCUUACCUGCAGGCAACUCCAAGUCCACGAAGGCCACCGCUCCCUGCACGCCUUCUGCUGGCACAGACAGCACGAGGGCCAGCGUCCUCCGGUCCCAGAGCAGCAGAGACGUCUUGUUAACGGACACCAGGUACGGCUCGAAGGCAGCCACGAGACCGUGGGGCCAGCUGGGUGCCAGGGUGACUGCUUGCCGUUUGGUCAGGCUCAGUGCCCUCAGGCCUGCAGGCAGAGGGAUGUUUUGGUCCUGGGGUUUGCCGGCACCCCUUGUGGCCCACCCUGUGCCCCCACAGCCCCCAGUUAAGGCAGGGACCCCGUGGCUGAGGACAGGAGCCCACCCACGGGACAAAGCCUGUCCCAAGAGCAUCUCACCGCCCAGGCAGGGACCUGCUGCACGUAGGGCACGGCUGGGCACUCCUGCCUCUACAGCAACCCCCUCUGCUCCAGAUUUCUCCAGGGCUCACCCAGGGCUGAGCUCCAGAGCAGGCUGAAGGCCCUGCUAUCCAUGGCCACGGGCAGCUCUCUGGGCCACGUCUCGUUCCAGGCAUCCCGCGGGUCGCCCCCAGCCAGGCUGAGCUGCUGCAGGGGCUGCCCACGAGCCAGCCAGUACAGAGCCCCCCGCUGCCAGUCCAAGAAGAGGUGCUGGAUGCUGCCGCGAGCACGGUGCAGGAUGUGCGGGGUCAUGUCGGGCGCCUGGGUCACCCCGAUGUCCCUCCGGUUACACGCCAGCCAGUACAGGUUCCCUGAGCGGAUGUCCACGCGGGCGGAGCAGACUUGGCAACAGCAGGCAGGCAAGCAAGCAGUUACGGGGCUGUCGCAUGGCCCAGCUCCUCCACCUGGGUCCCCCCUGUCCCUACAGCCAGGGGGCAGCUGACCGGUGCCUCAGCACAGCCCCAGCGCGGGCACCAAGGGACCGCUAAGCUCUGCAGCAGGAGAGCCUCACAUCUCCGGGAGCCCCGAGAAAGCAAGCGUGCCACCGCGGGGCUCCAGCACCCCACGGGAUCUCACCUGGCAGCCCGGUGACGAUGGUUUCUCUCCUCCCGGGGUGCCCCACGACACGCAGCAGCGUCCCCCUGUCAUCUGUCCCGUAGAGCACCGCCCUCUGCCAGUCCACGUCCUGCAGGUGGAGGGGCUCCCGCCACUCCUGCACUCGUCGGCUGCAUGGCCCGGGGCCCACCUGCACCAGGGAGAUGGCUGUCCCUGAGGAGUAGGCGAUGGACAGCUCUGCGGGGCACAAGGGCAGCGUGUGAGCGCGUCUCCAGGGGCGCUGGACGGGCACAGCCCAGGCAGCCUCUGCUGGCAAG